GGUUGGGAUGACUCCCUUAAGAAGAUCACUUUCUGUUUCUUUCGCGUCUGCCUUUUCCCGUGGGCGUCGUCGCCAGGUCCUCUGCGGUAGAUGUAGUUUUUAACCUGGUCAUCAGGCACUUCCGCCCAUGUCCAAGAUGGCGCCUGCGUCGCGGGCCUAACGUUCACGGGGUCUGUCGGGGUCUGACGUGUGAGCCGGUAGGGGUGGAGCGGUAGUAAACAGCAAAUGCAGGCGCUGCUGCGCGGGAGUCGGCCAUGGACUGGAAAGAAGUUCUUCGCCGGCGCUUAGCGACGCCCAGCACCGGUCCAAACAAGCUCCUGAAAGUGCCCGGAGAAAAACAGAACCAUGAAAAAAAAAGUGAACAAGAAUUAAAAGAUGAAGAAAUGGAUUUAUUUACCAAAUACUAUUCAGAAUGGAAAGGUGGUAGAAAAAGCACAAAUGAAUUCUAUAAGACCAUUCCCCGGUUUUAUUAUAGGCUGCCAGCUGAAGAUGAAGUCUUACUACAGAAAUUAAGAGAAGAAUCCAGAGCUGUCUUCCUACAAAGGAAAAGCAGAGAACUAUUAGAUAAUGAAGAAUUACAGAACUUAUGGUUUUUGCUGGACAAACAUCAGACACCCCCUAUGAUUGGAGAGGAAGCAAUGAUCAAUUAUGAAAAUUUUUUGAAGGUUGGUGAAAAGGCUGGACCAAAGUGCAAGCAAUUUUUCACAGCAAAAGUCUUUGCUAAACUCCUUCAUACAGAUUCAUAUGGAAGAAUUUCCAUCAUGCAGUUCUUUAAUUAUGUUAUGAGAAAAGUUUGGCUUCAUCAAACAAGAAUAGGACUCAGUUUAUAUGAUGUUGCCGGGCAAGGGUACCUUCGAGAAUCUGAUUUAGAAAACUACAUAUUGGAACUUAUCCCUACUUUGCCACAAUUAGAUGGGCUGGAAAAAUCCUUUUACUCCUUUUAUGUGUGUACGGCAGUUAGGAAGUUCUUCUUCUUUUUAGACCCUCUAAGAACAGGGAAGAUAAAAAUUCAAGAUAUUUUAGCAUGCAGCUUCCUAGAUGAUUUAUUGGAGCUAAGGGAUGAAGAACUGUCCAAGGAAAGUCAAGAAACAAAUUGGUUUUCUGCUCCGUCUGCCCUAAGGGUUUAUGGGCAGUAUUUGAAUCUUGAUAAGGAUCACAAUGGCAUGCUCAGUAAAGAAGAGCUCUCCCGCUAUGGAACAGCAACCAUGACCAAUGUUUUCUUAGACCGUGUUUUCCAGGAGUGUCUCACUUAUGAUGGAGAAAUGGACUAUAAGACUUACCUGGACUUUGUUCUUGCAUUAGAAAACAGAAAGGAACCUGCAGCUCUGCAAUAUAUUUUCAAACUACUUGAUAUUGAGAACAAAGGCUAUCUGAAUGUCUUUUCCCUUAAUUAUUUCUUUAGGGCCAUACAAGAACUAAUGAAAAUCCAUGGACAAGAUCCUGUUUCAUUUCAAGAUGUGAAGGUUAUGUUUUCCUUUAAUUUACAUAAUAUUACCACAUACUAUUACCAUAAUACCACCAAAUAAAUCAUUUGUUGUAUAUAAUUUUUUUUUUUUUUUUGGCUGGGCCAGGUUUGAACCCGCCACCUCCCAUAGAUGGGGCCUGCACCCUACUCCUUUGAGCCACAGGCGCUGCCCCCUGUACAUAAAAUUUUAUGUGAAAGCACCUUCUCUGAAAUACUAUACUCAAUCAGGAUGAAAUCUUUGACAUGGUAAAACCUAAGGAUCCUUUGAAAAUCUCUCUUCAGGAUUUAAUCAACAGUAAUCAAGGAGACACAGUCACCACCAUUCUAAUUGAUCUAAAUGGCUUCUGGACUUAUGAAAACAGGG